GGACGCGUAGCUCAGUUGGAAGAGCACCAGUCAUGAACCUCUGGAGGUCCUAGGUUCAAUCCCUGGCGUGACCA